AUUACAGGAGGCCAAGGUUCAGAGUCAUUAAGCAGUUUCACCCAAGAUCACAAAGACAAGAAGUGGCUUUUGGAAUCUGAAGUGGGAUUUGAACAUAGGAUCUUUGACCCUAAGGUGAGUGUUUAUUCGAUUUGGUUCUCUGGUCCCAGAUCCUUCCAUUCCAGUCCGGAUAGUUUUGGGAA
rnacentral:lncRNA from 1 species